AUAAUGAAGAAAAAUAACAGACAAAAGUCGGAACGGUGAGUCGUGUUUCUUUCUCACUUGCCUCCUGUUUUUCUCCCUUCCUUUUUUUUUGUUGCCCUUUGAAUUUUGCUUGGUUUAU
rnacentral:ribozyme from 1 species